GACGAACGCUGGCGGCGUGCUUAACACAUGCAAGUCGAACGGAAAGGCCCUGCUUUUGUGGGGUGCUCGAGUGGCGAACGGGUGAGUAACACGUGAGUAACCUGCCCUUGACUUUGGGAUAACUUCAGGAAACUGGGGCUAAUACCGGAUAUGAGCUCCUGCUGCAUGGUGGGGGUUGGAAAGUUUCGGCGGUUGGGGAUGGACUCGCGGCUUAUCAGCUUGUUUGUUGGGUAGUGGCUUACCAAGGCUUUGACGGGUAGCCGGCCUGUGAGGGUGAACGGCCACAUUGGGACUGAGAUACGGCGCAGACUCCUACGGGAGGCAGCAGUGGGGAAUAUUGCACAGUGGGCGGAAGCCUGAUGCAGCAACGCCGCGUGCGGGAUGACGGCCUUCGGGUUGUAAACCGCUUUCGCCUGUGACGAAGCGUGAGUGACGGUAAUGGGUAAAGAAGCACCGGCUAACUACGUG
rnacentral:rRNA from 1 species